rnacentral:sRNA from 1 species
UAUGGUGUUUCUAAUCAAAUACUGCGUAUACUGUAUAUAACUACAUUCCAUACUGGUUCUUGUCAGAAGUUCUUUUGAAGCUUUCUCCUGUUGAUUACCACGUAAGAUUUGUAACACAUUCUACUAAUAUUCUAUGAGGUAAUUAAAAUGGCAACAGGAACCGUAAAAUGGUUUAACGACUCUAAAGGCUUUGGCUUUAUUACACCUGACGAUGGCAGCACAGACGUAUUUGCACAUUUUUCUGCAAUUGCCAGCGAGGGAUUUCGAUCUCUGGCCGAAGGUCAACAGGUAACAUACGAUGUCGAGAGUGGACCGAAAGGCCCUCAGGCAGCAAACAUCAGAACCUAAUCGCUCUCAAGUUUUAGUUCGAAGUUUUUCCUUAAACCCUGCGAUCUGUCGUGGGGUUUAAGCC